UGGGGAAUUUUGGACAAUGGGCGAAAGCCUGAUCCAGCAAUGCCGCGUGUGUGAAGAAGGCCUUCGGGUUGUAAAGCACUUUUGUCCGGAAAGAAAUCCUUGGCUCUAAUACAGUCGGGGGAUGACGGUACCGGAAGAAUAAGCACCGGCUAACUACGUGCCAGCAGCCGCGGUAAUACGUAGGGUGCAAGCGUUAAUCGGAAUUACUGGGCGUAAAGCGUGCGCAGGCGGUUUGCUAAGACCGAUGUGAGAUCCCCGGGCUCAACCUGGGAACUGCAUUGGUGACUGGCAGGCUAGAGUAUGGCAGAGGGGGGUAGAAAUUCCACUGUAGCAGUGAAAUGCGUAGAGAUGUGGAGGAAUACCGAUGGCGAAGGCA
rnacentral:rRNA from 1 species